UACAGGGGGUGCAAACGUUGCUCGGAAUUAUUGGGCGUAAAGCGCACGUAGGCGGUUCGUUAUGUCGGAUGUGAAAUCCCACGGCUCAACCAUGGACGUGCAUUCGAAACUGCGAAGCUUGAGUAUGGAAGAGGGUCGCAGAAUUCCCGGUGUAGAGGUGAAAUUCGUAGAUAUCGGGAGGAACACCAGUGGCGAAGGCGGCGACCUGGGCCAAUACUGACGCUGAGGUGCGAAAGCGUGGGGAGCGAACAGG
rnacentral:rRNA from 1 species